UAACCCCUACCCAAGUGCGUGUGGGUACACAAAUUUUGAGCCAACAGCCUAAAAAGGGGAGCCCCGCUUGGACGGUGGUGAGCAAACCCUCCUCGAGAGGGGAGCCUAAAGCCGGACAGGGGGCACCCACCUGGUUAAGCCAGGUUCAAAAUUUGGUGCCGCACGGCUAGGGUGGGGGUUUU
rnacentral:other from 1 species